rnacentral:siRNA from 1 species
UCUGGGUCCUUUAUUAUUUUG